rnacentral:rRNA from 1 species
UGCAGGAUGACGGCCCUAUGGGUUGUAAACUGCUUUUAUAAGGGAAUAAAGUGAGCCUCGUGAGGCUUUUUGCAUGUACCUUAUGAAUAAGGACCGGCUAAUUCCGUGCCAGCAGCCGCGGUAAUACGGAAGGUCCGGGCGUUAUCCGGAUUUAUUGGGUUUAAAGGGAGCGUAGGCCGGAGAUUAAGCGUGUUGUGAAAUGUAGAUGCUCAACAUCUGCACUGCAGCGCGAACUGGUUUCCUUGAGUACGCACAAAGUGGGCGGAAUUCGUGGUGUAGCGGUGAAAUGCUUAGAUAUCACGAAGAACUCCGAUUGCGAAGGCAGCUCACUGGAGCGCAACUGACGCUGAAGCUCGAAAGUGCGGGUAUCGAACAGGAUUAGAUACCCUGGUAGUCCGCACGGUAAACGAUGGAUGCCCGCUGUUGGUCUGAAUAGGUCAGCGGCCAAGCGAAAGCAUUAAGCAUCCCACCUGGGGAGUACGCCGGCAACGGUGCAACUCAAAGGAAUUGACGG